rnacentral:rRNA from 1 species
GAUGAACGCUGGCGGCGUGCCUAAUACAUGCAAGUCGAGCGAACAGACGAGGAGCUUGCUCCUCUGACGUUAGCGGCGGACGGGUGAGUAACACGUGGAUAACCGACCUAUAAGACUGGGAUAACUUCGGGAAACCGGAGCUAAUACCGGAUAAUAUAUUGAACCGCAUGGUUCAAUAGUGAAAGACGGUUUUGCUGUCACUUAUAGAUGUAUCCGCGCCGCAUUAGCUAGUUGGUAAGGUAACGGCUUACCAAGGCAACGAUGCGUAGCCGACCUGAGGGGGUGAUCGGCCACACUGGAACUGAGACACGGUCCAGACUCCUACGGGAGGCAGCAGUAGGGAAUAUUCCGCAAUGGGCGAAAGCCUGACGGAGCAACGCCGCGUGAGUGAUGAAGGUCUUCGGAUCGUAAAACUCUGUUAGUAGGGAAGAACAAAUGUGUAAGUAACUAUGCACGUCUUGACGGUACCUAAUCAGAAAGCAACGGCUAACUACGUG